rnacentral:lncRNA from 1 species
GCAACAGAAAACUAUUUCUCACAGUUCUGGAGGGUGCAAAGUCCAAGAUCAAGUAGAUUUGGCAUCUGGUGAGGGUCUGUUCUGGGAUGGAACUUUCCCACUGUGUCCUCACAGUGGAAGGGUGAAGGCAACUCUCUAGGGCCUCUUUCAUAAGAACACUAAUCCCAUUUAUGAGAGCUCCAUCCUCAUAACUUAAUCACUUCUGGAAUGUCCUACCUCUUAAUACCACUGCAUUGGUGAUUAGGUUUAGACAUAUAAAUUAUGAGUGUACAUAAACAUUCAGAGCAGUACAGACAGGGUUUUUAAGAGUAUCUAAGAAUAAGGGUUUGAACCCCUGAUUGUUUACAGUGAGUGAAUCAGUCAUUUGACAUUCAUCUUAAUUAAAACUUCUUCUCUGUUCAUUGCUCCUUUUGUACAUCUCCUCAUCUUCUCUUCCAAGAGCCAUCUGCCUAAUCAGGAAAAUUCUUGCCUAGGAUUUCAAGGACUUAUCAUCAGGACAUUAAUAAGAGAAAAUAUGUGAUGGAAUAAAAUAUGCUGAAACACAUUGUGAAAAUGUGUAAUGUAAAUAAACCACUCAAUGACAAAAUUCGAAAACAAAAUGAUAAACUAACCUGGUGGAACCUUCAAGAGGUAAUUAGGUCAUGAGGAUGGAGUCCUCAUGAAAAGGAUUAGGAGACAGGACAGAGAUGAUUUUUCUCUCCUAUGUGAGGAUGUGAUGGGACGACAGCCAUCUGCAAACUAAGAAGAGGGCCCUCACCAGACAUUAUAUGCCUGUCCCUUGAACUUGGUCUUUCCAGACUCAGAACUAUGAGAAAUAAAUAGUAUUUAAGCCACCAUAUCAAUGGUAUUUUGUUAUAGUAUCCCAACAACUAAAACACACGUGCGCUUUCACACUACCACCACAAUUAACAACAGACAAAACCCUGAGUUCUGUAUCUUAAAGAAAGUCAUCUAACAUUCUGGGAUUCAUUUGCCUUAUCUAUCAAAUACAUUUGUAUCAAACUAUAUUGUAACAUUUGAGGGUUUCUAAGACUAUAGACUGACCAAGUGGAUGGCUCCUUUC